UACGAAGGGGGCUAGCGUUGCUCGGAAUCACUGGGCGUAAAGCGCACGUAGGCGGAUUGCUAAGUCAGGGGUGAAAUCCUGGAGCUCAACUCCAGAACUGCCUUUGAUACUGGCGAUCUUGAGUCCGGGAGAGGUGAGUGGAACUCCGAGUGUAGAGGUGAAAUUCGUAGAUAUUCGGAAGAACACCAGUGGCGAAGGCGGCUCACUGGCCCGUUACCGACGCUCAGGCGCGACAGCGUGGGGAGCAAACAGG
rnacentral:rRNA from 1 species